rnacentral:ncRNA from 1 species
GUAAGUCCUACGAGGCAGAAUAGUAAGCUUUUAUUUGUGGUGCAGACAGUUGGCGGAUGAUGCGAGCCAAUCCCAAAUAAGUUGAACUCACUGCGGAGGAGUAGCCAUGAAUUAGUAGUGGCUAACGCUUGAUUAGCGUUAACAAUCAUUGAGAGGAUGGCAGUUGCUAUCAAUCAGGGUGGUAUCGCGGGUAUGUAUAACUCGUCCCUGGC